GUGACCUCUGUAAUUGGUCUGGCUGCCGCAUAGUCGCUUUCGCUGGAAGUCACGAGACUUUGCUGGAAGUCACGAGACUUUGCUGGAAGUCAGGAGACUUUGCUGGAAGGGAAGCUUUCCUCCCUCAAUAUGGAGGGCUCUGAGCUUCACAGGCAACUGCAAGGAUCUGGCAUGUGGCACACAGCAAUGCUUCUAUAGGCCAGGAAUCCCACCUUCAGGGAACCCAAACAGAAGAAGAAUCCCAAGCACUGACACUGUAGAGCAGAGCAAGGCAUCAGCUGCAAGCUCAGCACAGCCACUGCAGCGAGAGGUCUUGGUGGAAGCGACAGAGCUGACCUGGCUGACUCGUGCAGGCAAUGAACAUGGGGACAGGUGCAGAACUAAUCAGUCGGAAGGCUGGAGAACCGCAUGGGGAAAAUGGGGACUUGAUUUUCUACAAGUGGUACUCCAAGAGGCUCCUACACUUCAGCAGGGAGGACUCCGAGACUCCGACUGGUCACAGUCCUGCAGACCUCCAGGUCCUGCACCAGCGGCGCAGCGCUCCACUGGCCCGGAAAGCGCACACCGGCGGAAAUGA
rnacentral:lncRNA from 1 species